rnacentral:rRNA from 1 species
UUAUACGACUCUCGGCAACGGAUAUCUUGGCUCUCGCAUCGAUGAAGAACGUAGCGAAAUGCGAUACUUGGUGUGAAUUGCAGAAUCCCGCGAACCAUCGAGUCUUUGAACGCAAGUUGCGCCCGAGGCUACCCGGCCGAGGGCACGCCUGCCUG